UGCUAAUACCGCAUAAAAACUUUAAACACAAGUUUUAAGUUUGAAAGAUGCAAUUGCAUCACUCAAAGAUGAUCCCGCGUUGUAUUAGCUAGUUGGUGAGGUAAAGGCUCACCAAGGCGAUGAUACAUAGCCGACCUGAGAGGGUGAUCGGCCACAUUGGGACUGAGACACGGCCCAAACUCCUACGGGAGGCAGCAGUAGGGAAUCUUCGGCAAUGGACGAAAGUCUGACCGAGCAACGCCGCGUGAGUGAAGAAGGUUUUCGGAUCGUAAAACUCUGUUGGUAGAGAAGAACGUUGGUGAGAGUGGAAAGCUCAUCAAGUGACGGUAACUACCCAGAAAGGGACGGCUAACUACGUGCCAGCAGCCGCGGUAAUACGUAGGUCCCGAGCGUUGUCCGGAUUUAUUGGGCGUAAAGCGAGCGCAGGUGGUUUAUUAAGUCUGGUGUAAAAGGCAGUGGCUCAACCAUUGUAUGCAUUGGAAACUGGUAGACUUGAGUGCAGGAGAGGAGAGUGGAAUUCCAUGUGUAGCGGUGAAAUGCGUAGAUAUAUGGAGGAACACCGGUGGCGAAAGCGGCUCUCUGGCCUGUAACUGACACUGAGGCUCGAAAGCGUGGGGAGCAAACAGGAUUAGAU
rnacentral:rRNA from 1 species